GGUGAGAUGGCCGAGUGGUUUAAGGCGCAUGCUUGGAAAGUAUGUAUAUGAAAAAAUAUCAGGGGUUCGAAUCCCCUUCUCACCG
rnacentral:tRNA from 1 species